AUGAAGACUUUCUCAGAGGAGGAAAAAACAGAGAAAAUACAUUGCCAGAAGACCCUACUCUAAAAGAACUGUUAAAUGAAGUUCUUUAAACAGAAGGAGAUGCACAAAGAAAGAUCUGGAAAUGGAAUAAAUGAAGACAAAAGCUCAUCUACCUUGCCUGCUUCAUUAUUUAAGAUCCCGAAAGCCUCUACACAAGCCAACUGAAAGCAUGAACUUUUCUAGGGACCCUUUGGACAGACUGACUCCCAUUACUGAAAUCCCUGUCAUGCCAACAUUUCAGUUUUGGAAUUACAGCUUAGAAGCUUAACAACUUUUCUACUUAAAUGACAUGUGUUUAAAUACAAUUCAUCUACCUGGAAUUAGGAGAGAAAAGAAGAACCUCUAAAGCACAAAUUGGUGAAUGAACUACAUAAGAAGUUCAAGGAUUUAACAGCUGUUAAAUGCAGUCUAAUCAUGAGAUUAUAGAGAAUGAGAAUGAAGGAAAAUUUUAAGAAAAUAAUGCAUAACUAUUAAGGUAACUAUCAGAAAAAUCAUAAUAAUCUUUUUAUAUAUAUAUUAAUGUAACAGUCUGCAAACACCCUUCCUCUCUUGCUGCUAGUUCUCCUGCAUUCAAGCUAAGUUCAUUACCUUUAAAAAACCAAUUUCAUGUCAGUGUGGCUAAAAAAACUCCCGGUACCAUUAAUUACCAUAGGCUGUACAUAAAACUCCAUGGUUAAACUUUUGCAGCCUGGAAGCAGUCUUCCUGAAUAUCAUUUUCUAUGUGAUAUGUUCCAACCAAAUGUAAGUUUUCAAUUGAUACUCAAGCUAAG